AUUUAUAAAUAAAUGAUAUUUUUUCAACAUUAAGUUGAAUGGCCUUCAUAUAAUGACAUAGAUCGAAAUUGGCUCCGCUUUUAUCGUGAAGGCGUGAAAACUAGGCGUUGAUAGCUUCACUACCUCCCCAGAAACCCAUUUCCAAGUCUGGAUGACUCAUUAGACAAAAGGUACAAGUGUUCUCUGUAAACUCCAGACAUGGUUGUGCACGAAAAACCCAGGAGAUCGGCAGUUUCUGGAAUACUCAAAUCACCCCAUCUGGCACCAACUUAGUCACUUAGAUAACAAGUCUUCCCCAUUCUGAUGUUGAGUCUGAACAACAACUGAACUUCUUGACCAUGUCUGCAUGCUUUUAUGCAUGGAGUUCUUGCCACAUGAUUGGCCGAUUAAAUAGUUACAUUAAGAAUCAAGUGUACUAAUAAAGUGAUCAAUGAGUGCACACUACUCACAUUUCAUUCUCCCUCACACCCCGCAUUAUACACCACACAACUAUAAUAGGGACAAUUUACAGUGACCAAUUAACUUACCAACACACGUCUUUGGGAUGCUGGAAGAAAUGAGAACUCCUGGAGGAACAGUUACAGGGUUAGCAUGCAACCUCCUCAUAGUUAGCAACGGCAGUCAGAAUUGAACCCACAUCACUAGUGCUGAGAGGCAGUAACUCUAUGAGUUGUAUUACUGUGCUGCUCUCUGUAACUUUCCAAAGGAGAUGGAAAAGUACUUUUUUCAGAAGAAGUCAUAGAGGCAUAAUCAUAGAGCACCUCACCACAGAAACAGGCCCUUCAGCCCAUCUAGUCUGUGCCAAUCUUGUACUGUAUGUGUCCAGGACCAAGGAGCGGGCAGGUAAAAUCUUUGCAGACACUAUCCACCCUGUAAACUGCCUUUUCGUAAA